GGAGGAGACUGGGCUUGGUUCUGAUUUAACUCAUGAGAAAUACCAGGAAGUUCUGAGGAAGAUGAAAGAGGAAAAGGAGACGCUGCUUCUUGAAAAACAAAUCUUUUCACACAGUUUGGAAAUUUGAAUGUCCUCUUUUGUGACAUGUCUUUCGCCUGCAUCUGUGAGAUGAUCCAAAGCCCAGGAUGACUCCUCUCAAACAGUGAAACCGGGAUCAAUUUUGGCAGACACCACCCAAAGAAACAUGGAGAGGACCACCAUUAAGAAACAGGAGAGAAGGUGUUGGUACAAUCUUUAUUAGGUUGCUGGCUUAUGUGAUUUUCCACCUGCAGUACAUAAACCCAGAUCUUCUCGUGGAUGUCCUGCCCCUGGUGCUGAGCAGGGGCACCUUGGAGAGUCUGAGGAAGGUCUCACAUCCCUUCCUCACUCUAGCAGUGGAAGAAGCACUACCACACUAGUCUGGGGUGACCUGGGGGCAUCACCCCACACCUGAGUGGAGGUGACCGUGGCUGUGGCCCCAUGUUGGGGAUGGCCAGGAAGGAUGUGGAAGCCUUUGACUCAGAGCCGCUACUUGACAUCUGAGUUUUUCAUUUCAUUCUUUCCCUGCUUUCCCUCUGGAAUGUCUCUCUUUCAAAUAAAGAAUAUGUUUGACG
rnacentral:lncRNA from 10 species